GGAGGGUACAGCUCAGAGGUAGAGCACAUGCUUAGUGUGCAUGAGUUCCUGGGUUCAAUCCCCAGUCCCUCCA
rnacentral:tRNA from 1 species